rnacentral:rRNA from 1 species
ACCUAGUCAUCUGCUCUGAACAUGCUCUGUUCUAAUUUGAUCUCAGAAAUUAAGCAGGGUCUGGCCAAUUAAGCUCUUAGAGGGGCACUCUUUGGGUAUAGUUGAUACUAUGGGCU